GUUCCGGCAUGUUCAUGCAGCCCCUCAUCAGGGUGAACGGUUCGGGACACGACCCUAGCAAGGGGUAGGGGUUGAUUGGAAGCCGACGUCUUGGGCGCGGACAACUUAUCGGAAAAUCGUGGUGACAUCAACCUGAACAACGAAGACAAUCGCUCCCCACGUCGGAUUGUCUUCAUUGUUGCACAGCCCGUCUGCCCUACGGUACUUACCGGGUUUGCACACCACUCUCGUUAAACACGACGGGCAUACGUUCCUGAUGAGCGUCUUGGAAGUGUCGAUAGCAGGCAAGAACUUGUUCACGUCAUCGGCGUUCAAGUCAUACCUACGAUUGAUUGAAAAAAGUUUUAAUCAAAGAAAAUUCGCUUCUAUGUUAAAUUAAAGAUAAUUAUUGAAACUUACGGUGAACCUUUUCCACUGUUAUAAAUGAAAUGCUUCGAUCCUUCUAGGACGACGGCGCAAUCGUUACCGUCCACGCCUUCAAUCGGUGCGUAUUGUGCGGCGUGUCCGAAAUACCAGACGAACGAACAUAACACGAACGUUCUGCAAACAAUAGUUGUAUAAGAUAAUAAUUAAUUAUAGAAAAAUAUGUGAACAUUGAGAUGGAACAAUACGGGUAAAAUACUGACCCAAAUUAAAAGAAAUGUUUAAAAGAAGGUCCAGGGCCAGAUAACGAUUGUAGAGAAAACCAAGUAAAAUCAAUUUUAAUAAACUUAUUGUCAUUUAUACUUCGUUUUUAUAACCAACUAUUUAAAAAAACUCGCUUUACUAUACUAUUACACAUAAAUACAUAUACAUUAUACAUAUAUUAUAUAUAUAUAUCUAAAAUUUUAAAAUCUAACAUGUAUAUUUAUUCUUUAUAGAACAAUCAUAAAGUAGUU